GAGAUGUUGGUUAAGUCCCGCAACGAGCGCAACCCUUAUUGUUAGUUGCUACGAAAGAGCACUCUAGCGAGACUGCCGUUGACAAAACGGAGGAAGGUGGGGACGACGUCAAAUCAUCAUGCCCCUUAUGUCCUGGGCUACACACGUAAUACAAUGGCGCUUAACAGAGGAGGCGAAGCCGCGAGGUGGAGCGAAUCCCCAAAAAGCGUCUCAGUUCAGAUUGCAGGCUGCAACUCGCCUGUAUGAAGUCGGAAUUGCUAGUAAUCGCGGAUCAGCAUGCCGCGGUGAAUACGUUCCCGGGCCUU
rnacentral:rRNA from 1 species